rnacentral:lncRNA from 1 species
UGGCUCUACUCUCAUAUAUCCCGUAUUUGUGCUGUUGUGCUACGUUACAAUAUUUUAUCAUCUGUUUAGUAGUAAAUACAGUAGUUUUGCAUAUUUGAUAAAUAGCCUGCUGUUUAAUCCAUAUCGCACCCUUUAUCACACACCCUUUAUCACACCCCUUCUUUUUUUUUCUACAUAAAGUCUGUUUCGUUUUGUUUUUUGCUUAAGAAAAAUUUUCCUCAAAAUAAGUCAAUUUUUUGAAUGACGUCAUUGUUUGGUAUGUGACGUCACGAACGUCAAGAUUUCAUAUAUUUUGGCACACUAAAUGCAACUAUUAAAAAUACAAAACACACAAAU